rnacentral:rRNA from 1 species
CGGUAAUUCCAGCUCCAACAGCGUAUAUUAAAGUUGUUGCAGUUAAAAAGCUCGUAGUUGCGUUUCUGUUGGGAAGAAUCGUUCCUUGCCUCUGGCUUGGAUUCGUAUCGUCUCCUGACAUCCUUGGAUGGAGCCAUUCUGGCAUUAAGUUGUCGGGAUGAAGAUGCCCAUCAUUUACUGUGAAAAAAUUAGAGUGUUCAAAGCAGGCUUACGCCGGUGAAUAUAUUAGCAUGGGAUAAUAAGAUAGGACUUUGGUACUAUUUUGUUGGUUUGCGCACCAGAGUAAUGACGAAUAGAGACAGUUGGAAAUAUUCGUAUUCAGUUGUCAGAGGUGAAAUUCUUAGAUUUAUUGAAGACGAACUACUGCGAAAGCAUUUACCAAGGAUAUUUUCAUUAAUCAAGAACGAAAGUAUGAAGAUCGAAGAUGAUUAGAUACCAUCGUAGUCUAUACCAUAAACUAUGCCGACUCAGGAUAAGCAAGCGUUUACAUGACCUUGUCUGCACUGUAUGAGAAAUCAAAGUCUUUGGGUUCCGGAGAAAGUAUGAUCGCAAGGCUGAAACUUAAAGAAAUUGACGGAAAGACACCACCAGUAGUGGAACCUGCGGCUUAAUUUGACUCAACACAGGAAAACUCAUCAGAUCCAGACAUAGUGAGGAUUGACAGAUUGAGAGCUCUUUCUUGAUUCUAUGGGUGAUGGUGCAUGGCCGUUCUUAGUUGGUGGAGUGAUUUGUCUGGUUAAUUCCGUUAACAAACAAGACCCCAGCCUGCUAAAUAAUCACGCGAAUAAUUCUUUAUUGGCGGUGGUUUCUUAGAGAAACAUGGACUUUCAAAGUCCAGGAAGAUUGAGGCAAUAACAGGUCUGUGAUGCCCUUAGAUGUUCUGAACCGCACGCGUGUUACACUGAUGUAUUCAACGAGCAUAUAACCUUGGCCGAGAGGCCUAGGCAAUCUUGUUAACGUACAUCGUGAUAGAGAUAGAUCAUUGUAAUUAUUGAUCUUGAACGAGGAAUUCCUAGUAAACGCUGGUCAUCAACCAGCAUUGAUUACGUCCCUGCCCUUUGUACACACCGCCC